rnacentral:rRNA from 1 species
GACGAACGCUGGCGGCGUGCUUAACACAUGCAAGUCACGGGGGUCCGGUGGCAACAUCGGGCAACCGGCGAACGGGUGCGUAACACGUGAGCAACCUGCCUAUCUGCGGGGGAUAGCCGGCCCAACGGCCGGGUAAUACCGCAUACGUUCACCGAGGGACAUCCCUUGGUGAGGAAAACUCCGGUGCAGAUAGAGGGGCUCGCGGCCUAUCAGCUAGUUGGUGAGGUAACGGCUCACCAAGGCGACGACGGGUAGCUGGUCUGAGAGGAUGGCCAGCCACAUUGGGACUGCGACACGGCCCAGACUCCUACGGGAGGCAGCAGUGGGGAAUAUUGCGCAAGUGGACGAAAGUCUGACGCAGCGACGCCGCGUGUGGGAUGAAGCUC